rnacentral:rRNA from 1 species
UACGGGGGGGUAAGCGUUGUUCGGAAUUACUGGGCGUAAAGGGCUCGUAGGCGGCCAACUAAGUCAGACGUGAAAUCCCUCGGCUUAACCGGGGAACUGCGUCUGAUACUGGAUGGCUCGAGUUUGGGAGAGGGAUGCGGAAUUCCAGGUGUAGCGGUGAAAUGCGUAGAUAUCUGGAGGAACACCGGUGGCGAAGGCGGUCCCCUGGGCUGUCCCUGACGCUGAUGGACGAAAGCGUGGGGAGCGAACCGG